rnacentral:rRNA from 1 species
UACGAAGGGGGCUAGCGUUGCUCGGAAUCACUGGGCGUAAAGCGCACGUAGGCGGACUCUUAAGUCGGUGGUGAAAUCCUGGAGCUCAACUCCAGAACUGCCUUCGAUACUGAGAGUCUCGAGUCCGGGAGAGGUGAGUGGAAUUGCGAGUGUAGAGGUGAAAUUCGUAGAUAUUCGCAAGAACACCAGUGGCGAAGGCGACUUACUGGACACAUAUUGACGCUGAGGUGCGAAAGCGUGGGGAGCAAACAGG